ACAUCGCCUCCUGCAACUGCAUUGAGUAUAGGAGGUCCAGCCUGCCCAGUGACUACGGGUUCAACGGCCGCGGUAUUUUGACCGUGCAAAGGUAGCGCAAUCACUUGUCUCUUAAAUAGAGACCUGUAUGAAUGGCUAGACGAGGGCUUAACUGUCUCCCCCCUCCAGUCAGUGAAAUUGAUCUAUCCGUGCAGAAGCGGGUUUAACUAUACAAGACGAGAAGACCCUUUGGAGCUUAAGGUACAAAAUUCAACCACGUUAAACAACUCCACAAAAAGCAAGAACUUAGUGGCGAGUGAAAUUUUACCUUCGGUUGGGGCGACCACGGAGGAGAAAAAAGCCUCCGAGUGGACUGGGCCAAAUCCCAAAGCCAAUAGAUACAUCUAUAAGCCACAGAACAUCUGACCAAUAAUGAUCCGGCUGAAAAGCCGAUCAACGAACCAAGUUACCCUAGGGAUAACAGCGCAAUCCUCUCCCAGAGUCCAUAUCGACGAGGGGGUUUACGACCUCGAUGUUGGAUCAGGACAUCCUAAUGGUGCAGCCGCUAUUAAGGGUUCGUUUGUUCAACGAUUAAAGUCCUACGUGAUCU
rnacentral:rRNA from 1 species